AAAGAGGGGGAGGGCGGGGGAAGGGAGGGGGAAGGGAGGGAGAGGGACCGAGGAGGGGAGAUAUCCCUCCGCAGAGCUGGGUCUGGCCGCGGGCGGGGAAGCAGGAAGUAAGGUGUCCAGCGCCGCGACCGGCUGGUCGUCCGCCUCGGCCCCCGCCCGCGUCCCCUUUCCCCCGGGGCGCAGCGCUACGGCGGGCGCGGGCCGCCCGGCGCAUUGUUCGCAGCCUUCGCGGCGGUGCGCUGCUGACUUUAUUUGUGCGCUUUGCGUGUGCGUGAGGUUGCACCUUUUGUAGGCUGGCGAGUCUCUGGACGAGGAUGGGACGGGGGACACGGGCCCAGUUGCGGCCCUGCGCGAGCGGGACCUGUCAGCCCUGAGAAUAAAGCCAAGUUGUGAUUUCGCCUCUACAGACCUCUCUACCCGCCCAGCUCUUCCUCGGAUAUUCUCCUAAACCAGAAGCUGCAGAGAAGGAAGGAUUUGGGAUUUGCGGCUACACAGCCAAGGACGCUUUUGUCAUCUUCAAAGGACCCCCUACACCCUACACGCUUGGCCCGCUCUGUUCAUUGCCAACAGAGUGAUGGUUGAAUGCAUUCACAUGGUUCCAAAUUCAAAUAAACAGCAAGAAGUCUCCCUCCCACCCUGUCUGCCACCCACUUGGUUUUCCUUCUCUGGAGGCAACCUGGGUUAGUGGUCAGAAGAUGCAUUUAACUGUUUUCCAGCUGAGGCCUUGUGAGAACUCCUCGGACACCAAUUUAAAUCUUUAUGUCCAGAACUCCUUUCUCCAAUCCAGAGAUGAGGUUCCACCAUUCUUGCCCAGACUGGUUUCGAACUCCUGGACUCAAGCGAUUUGCCUGCCUCGGCCUCAAAAAGUGCUGGGAUUACAUGCAUGAGCCACCACACCCGGACCCUCUCUCUUAAAUAGUGGCCCUUUUGCCUCUCUGCAACACAGGAAAAAUUCUGUUAGCCUGCAUCAGAAGGAGUGGCAUGGAGGCUUUGGAGUUAAGAAGAUUUAAUUCAAAUUAUGUGUCCGGUGCCUGCCAGCAAUGAGACCUUGGUAAGGUUUCUUAACCUCUCUGAGCUGGGACCAUACCUUCUGCGUUGGUUUAAUAUAAAGGUUAAAUGCAUGUAAAUAAAUGACUUCUAAAAUAAAUAACAUUCUAAAAUGUUAGUAACAACUAAAUACAAUAUUUAGAUCUUGUGAGGAUUUGAUUUGAAUAAAUAAGAUUUUUUUAAAAGACAUUUUUGAGACAAAAUGUAGACUAUCUGAUAUUAAGAAAUUAAUCACUUUUUCAGAUAUGAUAAUGGCAUUGCAGUUUUUUUUAAGUUCUUAUCUAUUACAGAUACAUAAUGAGGCAUUUUGAGUGAAAAUAUAUCUAGGAUUUGCUUUCCAAUACUCCAUCCCCUCCCCAUCAAAACACUAAAUAAAUGAAACAAGAUUAGUGAAAUACGGAAAAUUGUUGAAGUUAUUCAUUAUUCCAUUUCCCAUAUGGAACUUUCCAUACUAGUUUCCCUACUGCUGUUGAAUAUUUGACAUGUUUCAAAUACAUUUGAAAUAAAUUUAUUGUCUGAGAUGAUCAGGUUGAAAAAUAAUAAAAUGAAAUAAAUUUAAAAGUAAAAUAAACAUAACCCUUUUAAGCAUUAAAAUUAAAAAUUAUGAGGCUUGUUGAAUUAUUACUGUUAUAAAUAAUUACAUACAUGUAUUUUUGAAACAGUCUUGCUCUUUCACCCAGGCUGCAGUGCAGUGGCAUAAUCACAGUUCACUGCGGCCUCAACCUCCCAGGCUCAGGUGAUCCUUGCACGUCUGCCUCCCAAGUAGCUGGGACUGCAGGUGUGCACCACCAUGCCUGGCUAAAUUUUUCUCUUUUGUAGAGACGGGUUUUGCGAUUUUGCCCACACUGGUCUUAAAGUCCUGGG
rnacentral:lncRNA from 10 species